UACGUAGGGGGCUAGCGUUGUCCGGAUUUAUUGGGCGUAAAGAGCAUGUAGGAGGUUCGGUGCGUCUCUGGUUAAAGCCCACUGCCUAACGGUGGAAGUGCCGGAGAUACGAUCGAACUGGAGGAUGUGAGAGGUGCAUGGAACUCACGGUGUAGGGGUGAAAUCCGUUGAUAUCGUGGGGAACACCAAAGGCGAAGGCAGUGCACUGGUACAUUCCUGACUCUGAGAUGCGAAAGCGUGGGGAGCAAAAAGG
rnacentral:rRNA from 1 species